rnacentral:rRNA from 1 species
UUAGUAACGGCGAGUGAAGCGGCAACAGCCCAGAUUUGAAAUCUGACUUUCGGGUCCGACUUGUAAUCUGCAGAUGAGUCUUUUGGCGGAGCGCCGUCCAAGUUCCCUGGAACGGGACGCCGGAGAGGGUGAGAGCCCCGUACCGACGUGCGCCGAGUCUUUGCAAAGCUCAUUCGAAGAGUCGAGUAGUUUGGAAAUGCUGCUCUAAUUGUGGGGUAAAUCUCCCAUAAGGCUAAAUACUGGCCAGAGACCGAUAGCGCACAAGUAGCGUGAGCGAAAGAUGAAAAGAGCCUUGAACAAGGGCGUCAAAAAGCAUGUGAAAUUGUUAUGGGGGAAGCGCUCAAUGCCAGACGUGGCGACGGUUGGUUACCCGGCGUUCUCGCCGGCGCACUCUGCCGCCGCCAGGCCAGCAUCAGUUCGAUCUGGGGCUUACUACCGCUCGGAACGUGGCUCUUCGGAGUGUUAUAGCCUUGCGGGGACGCCCUGGGCCGGACUGAGGAACGCGCAUCUGCUCGGAUGCUGGCGUAAUGGCUUUUAGCGACCCGUCUUGAAACACGGACCAAGGAGUUGACCUAGUAUGCGAGUGUUUGGGUGUCAAGCCCUCACGCGCAGUGAAAGCGAACGCAGGUGGGAGCCUCGGCGCACCAUCGACCGAUCCUGAAGUUUACGGAUGGAUUUGAGUAGGAGCAUACUGGGUCUGACCCGAAAGAAGGUGAACUAUGCAUGAAUAGGGUGAAGCCAGAGGAAACUCUGGUGGAGGCUCGCAGCGGUUCUGACGUGCAAAUCGAUCGUCAA